AAAGGGAGACCUAAUUCAGGUAGGAGACGAAAAAAAAGUAGUCGCUACCAAGAAUCAAUCCCAAAAGGUCGGAGCGAGGCGAAAUUGGCUUUCAAACUAGGUUCUGGGUUCACACAAGACCUGAAUCAGGAACAAGGGCUAUUAGCUCAGGUGGUUAGAGCGCACCCCUGAUAAGGGUGAGGUCCCUGGUUCGAGUCCAGGAUGGCCCACCUGCACAGGUGGCAAAAACAAGAGAAGCGAGGAAUCAGCACCUUAUCUUAUCUAUAUAUAUAUAGGAGAGAAUGCUGGCUCUGAGUAAAGAGUCCAGAGGAACCUUGAAAACUGCAUAGAGCUAGGUGAAAAAGCCAAAAAAGAAGACCGCAAG
rnacentral:tRNA from 1 species